rnacentral:rRNA from 1 species
UACGGGGGGGGCAAGCGUUGUUCGGAAUUACUGGGCGUAAAGGGCUCGUAGGCGGUUUGUCGCGUCUGCUGUGAAAACUGGGGGCUCAACCCCCAGCCUGCAGUGGGUACGGGCAGACUAGAGUGCGGUAGGGGAGAUUGGAAUUCCUGGUGUAGCGGUGGAAUGCGCAGAUAUCAGGAGGAACACCGAGUGGCGAAGGCA